CCCUUAGAUGUUCUGGGCCGCACACGCGCUACACUGAAGGAGGCAGCGUGUACUCCUGGAUCGAAAGAUUUGGGUAACCCGCGAAUCUCCUUCGUGCUAGGGAUUGAGGUUUGCAAUUAUCCUUCAUGAACGAGGAAUUCCCAGUAAGUGCAAGUCAUAAGCUUGCGCUGAUUACGUCCCUGCCCUUUGUACACACCGCCCGUCGCUCCUACCGAUUGGGUGAUCCGGUGAAUGGUUCGGACUCUGGCUAUGCUAGCUACUAGCUACGUCAGGGAAAGUUCUGUGAACCUUAUCACUUGGAGGAAGGAGAAGUCGUAACA
rnacentral:rRNA from 1 species